UUAAUAUUAAGCUAUAAGCGAAAGCUUGACUUAAUCAAGGCCAACUAAGAGCCGGUAAACCUCGUGCCAGCCACCGCGGUUAUACGAGGGGCUCAAAUUGAUAAUCCACGGCGUAAAGCGUGAUUAGAGAACAAAAACACUAAAGCCGAACAUCCCCUCAACUGUUAUACGUUUAAGGGGACACGAAGCCCCACAACGAAAGUAGCUUUACUUUAAAAUCUUGAACUCACGAAAAUUAAGAAACAAACUGGGAUUAGAUACCCCACUAUGCUUAAUCGUAAACAACGAUGGAACCACACAAAUACCGCCCGCCAGGGAACUACGAACAUUAGUUUGAAACCCAAAGGACUUGGCGGUGCCUCAGACCCACCUAGAGGAGCCUGUCCUAUAACCGAUAAUCCCCGUUUAACCUCACCACUCCUUGCCAACCCAGUUUAUAUACCACCGUCGCCAGCUUACCCCAUGAGGGUAUAACAGUAAGCUAAAUGGGCCCCUACCCAAAACGUCAGGUCGAGGUGUAGCGAACGCAGUGGGAAGAGAUGGGCUACAUUUUCUGAAACAGAACACCACGAAAGGUGUCAUGAAAUAAAACA
rnacentral:rRNA from 1 species